rnacentral:ncRNA from 1 species
CACAAAAGCUUGGUCCUGGCUUUUCUGUCAGCUAUAGCUAAACUUAUACAUGCAAGUAUCCGCACCCCUGUGAGAAUGCCCCCCCCCCCACUUCCUGCCCGGAAGUAAGGAGCUGGUAUCAGGCACGGUUUAUAAACCAGCCCAUGACACCUUGCUUAGCCACGCCCCCAAGGGAUUUCAGCAGUGAUAAACAUUAAGCCAUGAGCGAAAGCUUGACUUAGUUAAAGCUUAGAGGGCCGGUCAACCUCGUGCCAGCCACCGCGGUUAUACGAGAGGCCCAAGUUGACAGACCACGGCGUAAAGAGUGGUCAGGGAAACUUUUAAACUAAAGCCGAACAUCCUCACAGCAGUCCAAAGCUUCCGAGUUAAGAAGUCCAACCACGAAAGUAGCUUUAAACAACCUGACUCCACGAAAGCUGAGGCACAAACUGGGAUUAGAUACCCCACUAUGCUCAGCCCUAAAACUUGAUAGGCCCUUACAACCCCUAUCCGCCCGGGGACUACGAGCAUUAGCUUGAAACCCAAAGGACUUGGCGGUGCUUUAUAUCCGUCUAGAGGAGCCUGUCCUGUAACCGAUAACCCCCGUUAAACCUCACCCCCUCUUGUUUAUUCAGCCUAUAUACCGCCGUCGUCAGCUUACCCCGUGAGGGAUCAGAAGUGAGCACAAUUGGCAUAAGCCCAAAACGUCAGGUCGAGGUGUAGCAUAUGAGGGGGGAAGAGAUGGGCUACAUUUCCUGGCUCAGGAAAUACGAACAAUGAUUUGAAAUAAACAUUAGAAGGUGGAUUUAGCAGUAAGUAGAUAAGCAGAGAGUUCUACUGAAGAAUCAACGGCACUAAAGUAUGCACACAUCGCCCGUCACUCUCCCCGAGCCCCACAAAAAGAAAUGUACUUAAAAAACUAUACUUGCAAAGGGGAGGCA